AGGGUCAUGCGUAUGUCUGUGUGUGUGUGUGUGUGUGUGUGUGUGUGUGUGUGUGUCCAGGCAACCCUUCACUCAGAUCUUAACAAGCCCACGUCAUCACACCACUCUGUCUGUUUACCGUUACCUCACGUCUUUCUUUUAGUCUCAUCAACAUAACAGACUGUUUCAAUCUCUGAGGCUGUCGUCUCCUUUUCAGAAUAUCAGGGGUUUUUUUUUUUUGUUUUUUUUUUUGUGGACUCAACAUUGGUGUGCAGGUCUGUCAGACAUUUUCUUGUGGUUCUCCCUGUUCCCGAGCCUUUUAGUCCCAGUCGUAUCCCAGCUGCAACCUGUUUCUCUUCACUCCUGUUCGUCUUUGACCUUUUUGAAGACCACUACGAGUUUCAGAAUCUCACAUUUUCCGCUUUGUUGUAUGACUGUCGCAUUUGGUGAAACCUCAAGCUAGGUUUCCAUAUGCAUUUUAUGUGAACUGCUGCAUGUGGAGUGAUUUCAAAAGGUUUCUUGGAAGUGGCAAAGUUCUGUGACAUUUGUUUCAUGCAGGCUUGAAGUUACUGACGCUAAAAAAAAAAUAGGUGGAAACACACUAGUGAAUUAACCAGUGAUGUAGGGUUGGCAUUAUUGGUGAUGAGCUAUUUAGGCAAUGUCCACACUAAGCUGGGUAAAUUUGAAAAACAUUUUUUUCUCUGUUUUAACCUUCCAUAUACACUAAGCCAAAAAUGGUGCUUUUCAAAAAAAUGUAUCCAAAGUGUGCGAGCCUGAAAAAGGUGCUUUCAUGUGGGUAAGGAAACAGGAGCUUUCUGAAUAUAGUGACGUAAGACGGUGAUGUGACCUAACGAAUGCCUCUUGUGUGUCCACGCUGCAGAGCGGACGUUGCGUAGGUGUGAGCGUGCACAAUAUGGGAAUUUUGUGCAUUUCUGGGCAUUUCAGUGUGAAUGGCGAGGUUUUGGAAAACAGUGUGAAAACCGUGUAGUGUGGCUGGCAGUGCGAAACGCCAGUUUGGGAUUUCCCCAGCUUUGUGUGGACAUCGCCACAGUUGGACUGCACUUCAAACACUUCAAAAACAUUUGUUGACUUUUUGAAUUGCUGUUGGUUAUGUGUCCACCAUGUCCUCCAGAAAUGUUACAACACAGUCCUAAUUCAUUUCAGCAGUAAUCAGUUCCUCAUAGACAUUCAGCCCAGUUGAUAGAAACACACAUAACCGACAUUUUAUUUUUUUUUACCGCAAUUCAAAAGUUCACAUAGAAUUGGCCUGAUAGUUAGAUGGAAACACAAUUAGACUAAUCUUAAAGAAAUAAGACUAAGUUAAUGUAAUAAUUUAUUACAUAAAGUAACUAUUGCUGAAUAUUUAAUGACAUUUUGAUAAAGUGAUACCUUUAAUUGUCGUCAUUUCCCCUCACUAGACUGAUAUCAAAGGGAAACGUUUCCCCAGUUUCCUUAAUUCAGGCACCUCUCGGUCAUGAAGUCCCGGGAAUAUCACGGCAGCACUGAGAGGUGUUUUCCAAAAAGGGAAAGUCGGGGAAUUUGAUCGAUUCUCUGCAUCUGAGAAGUCCGAAAAUAUCAGGGAAUUUUACCAAAUGGGAUCAGAUUGUAUUUUCCAACUUGAUCAUAUUCGAUAGAAGUUCUAACUCAGAGUGGAACGGUUAAAACAAGAAUCAAAUUAAAGCAUAUCAAGGUAUCCUUUAGAAGUUGAUGCAUACGUGUGUGUGUGUAUGUGUGUGUGUGUGUGUGUGUGUGUGUGUGUGUGUCUUUCAGCCUCACUCAUUGGUCACAUUAAGGAACUGCGAGCCAUUAAUAUACUGUAUAACUGCACUGAAAAACAGAUGAGGAAGCUAUGUUUGCUGGUGUGUGUGUGCGCGCACGCAAGCUUGUAUGUGUGUGUAUCUUUUGUGUUCUCUUGCUGUGUGCAGCUACUACCAGUUGUCAACCUGUGUGUGCUGGAUUUGGUGUGUGUGUGUAUGUGUGUGUGUGUGAGAGAGAGAGACCCCUCCCUGUCCAUUCAUUCCAGCCCGUAUUGCCUUAUCACUAAACCCGUCUCGCUGUUAGUCCACGUUCCCUCUCUUUUCAUCCCACUGCUCAUUUUUCAUCCCCCCAUCCUCCUCCUCCUUCUCUCUCCUUUCGCCCUCCUCCUUUCCCUCCCCUCAUCGUCCUCUCCUUGUUUUUUCUUCCUCCAUCUUUUUCCCCACUCCCGUCAUUCCUCCUCCUUCCUCCUCUCUAGCCCCUCCAUACAGCUUCAUCCUCUAUCCUCACUCUUUUCCUGUCUCCUUUCUCUUCACUCCAUCCAUCCUCAUCCUCAUCUGUCUCAACAACUGCAUCCCUCUUCUCCCCAUCCGUCCAUACCCGCACCAUCGACCCCACCCCCAUCUCUCCCCUCCCUCCUUUUGGUUUCUCGUUAGUCUAAUGGAGUCAGAGUAAUUCACUCAGCGGCAGGCUAAUAUGACAGAGCGCUGGCUCAGCCUCUUGCCUGCCAGCGCACAGGGCAGAAUGGAUGGAUGGAUGGGUGGAAAAUUGAAAGAAAGAAAGGAGAAAAAAAAGCUUGGGGUAGAGAGAUAGAUGAGGCAGAAGGAGGCAGAGAUCUGAGGGAAAGAUGAAAGGACAGAGUCGGAAAAAUAUAGCGUUAUGUAACCCUCUCCUGUCUGUUGCAGGAGCAUGUGUAUGUUGCAUGUUUUUGUUGAUGUUAUGUCAUGUUUCAUGAUCAGAUGAGCUGCAGCUUACAUGUAGAAGGGGCAUAGCAACUGAAAAUGUCCCUGAAAUUAGUGUAAUAAACCUGAUAUUGUAAUAUUUACAAAAAAUGACACCUCUUAGAAUGUAAUGAUUUCCCACUUUAUACUGAAUUAUAUCAAGAAAAAAGAUUUUAAAUUUAAAUUUCACAACAUAUCUGACUGGUAGAGGGCCAUGCUGUUCCAUUUUGCGUUUUAUUAUCAUUAUUAAAUGAUCAUAUUAUCCUGAAGGGACUUGAGUUUGGCUGCUAUGUCACUCCACCUAUCUCUGUGUGUAUUAUCUGUUAGUUUGUUUGUGUCUACCUCCCUUGACAUCAUGUGAGCCUAAUGUCUGUCUACCUGUUUGCCAUAUUUUAUUAAAUGCUGGAAGGGAGCUGGGUCAGCGUCCCAAUUGGCUGAUGGGUCUUCUAGCAAAGUGUUUCUAUUGGUCAGCCGCACCAGGCAUGCAAGGCUCCUGUUUUAUAGAUCGGAGUAGUCUGUCUUUAAAGAGACGUAAUAAAUGCGAAUCAAGGAUUAAAUAAUGUACCUUAAGUCGAUAUUUAAAAACCCAGUGGGUGCAUGUGUGACUGGCUGCGUGAGUGACUCAUCCAGCACUUUUAGUCCAAUGACAAGCCCACCCAACACCCAGAUCUCUCCCCAUCCCUCCAAUCGAAUCCCCUCGUGCAUGUCCUGACUCUGUCCCAUCCCCGGUGUACUCCCCCUGAACUUGGACUGUUAUUUUCUGUAAAAUAAACCUGUGUACUUUUGAAAAAUAAUGUCUAUUAUCAAGGUAAUUAUUAUAUCUCUGAUGUUAAGUACAUUUGAUGUUAGCAAUAACGUAAAUACAUCAGUAACGGAGUAUAUUUGAUAUUUAAAUGCAGUGAAAAUAUAAUGUAGUGAGAAAGCGAUGGUGACGAUGGAUAGAGGUUGUCUUUUAAAGCAAUAUAUAUAUAAAUAUAAACUAAACAUGAGUGCCAUAUAUGAUUUUACUCAAGGUUUUGUUUGUUUGUUUGUUUGUUUAUCUUAUCUUUGUGAGUUUGUUUCCUGUCCUCUGCCUCAUUGUCGUCUGUUCCAGUCGCUAGUACUUGUGCUGAAGGCUUCUGUAGCGUCCCAGUAUGUCUCUAUGUAUGAUGAAUGCCGGCUUGGUCAAGCUAUUGCAACAGAAAUAAAGACACCCUGCUGCUUCUA